CUUUUUGGAUCUGGGAACCUUGGGAACUGAGGACAAUACCGGAUAAGGGAUUGGUGCUGGAAUGCUCUUUCCUUUAAAGGCAACGCCAUAGGAUAGGUCAGCGGCUGAUUAGGCUGUUGGUGAGGUAAUGGCUCACCAAACCUAAGAUCAGUAGGGGGGAUGAGAGUCCUAGCCCCGAGAAGGACACUGAGAAAAGGGUCCUAGCCCUAAGGGGUGCAGCAGGCGGGAAACCUAUACAAUGCGCGAAAGCGUGAUAUGGGGACCCAAAGUGCUCGUCACACGAUGAGCUUUUGUCAAGUGUAAAUACCUUGGCGAAUAAGUGGUGGGCAAGACCGGUGCCAGCCGCCGCGGUAACACCGGCGCCACGAGUGGGGAUCGCAAUUAUUGGGCCUAAAGCGUCCGUAGCCGACUUGAUAAGUUCCUUGUGAAAUUGUUGCGCUCAACGUAACGAAUGGCAAGGAAAACUGUCUUGUUUGGGAUCGGGAGGGGACAGAGGUAUUCCUUGGGAAGCGGUAAAAUGUUUUAAUCCUUGGAAGACCACCUGUGGUGAAGACGUCUGUCUAGAACGAAUCCGACGGUGAGGGACGAAAGCUGGGGGAGCGAACCGGAUUAGAUACCCGAGUAGUCCCAGCUGUAAACUCUGCGAACUAUGUGUUGCAUUUCCUUCGAGGACAUGCAGUGCCGUAGCGAAGGUGUUAAGCUCGCCGCCUGGGAAGUAUAGUCGCAAGACCGAAACUUAAAGGAAUUGGCGGGGGAGCAC
rnacentral:rRNA from 1 species